UUUUUCUUUUCUUUUCUUUCUUUUUUUUUUUGGUUUUUCAAGACAGGGUUUCUCUGUGUAGCCCUGGCUGUUCUGGAACUCACUCUGUAGACCAGGCUGGCCUCGAACUCAGAAAUCCACCUGUCUCUGCCUCUCAAAUGCCGGGAUUAAAGGUGUGUGCCACCAUCGACCAGCGUGUAAAUACUUCUAUGUAGGUACCCAUACAUACAGAAAACAAACUUUAAAACAAUAAAACAAUCUUUUUUUUUAAUUGUUUAAUUCCACUCAGAGCAAAUAUAUUUUAGUAUGGUUUUGAGGUAACUAUUAAUGAAAUCAAGGUUAGGGUAAAUUUGUAUAUGUGGUUACUGCUUGCUUCUUGGGUCUGACAGUAGUUUUAGAUUGUGCUCUUUUUCUGUAAUACUUCGUAGCCAGCAUUAGAUAGUAAAUGAGUUUGGUAAGAUGUACUUUCGCCCGAGGUUGUGAAACUCAUGGCAUAAUACGUUUCAAUCAGCAGCACACAUCUGUGAAGGACUUUGUCAUCUGCUUGGAGCAGGUAAAACCAAAGUAGCUAAAGAUCACACUGAUAUCACUAAGUAUGUUGCAUAACCAACCAGUUUCUACUUCUCUUUGGUCUUACAAGUCAGAAAGUCUGUUUGGGGGUAAAAAUAAAAGCAACCCACAAGCUACUUGCCCAGAAAGGACAUUUGAAUUAUUCGACUUAAUGUAAACUCUCAUAAUGUAAACUGCCUUUAAUUCUUUUGAACUCAGGGCUUCUUCCUACAAGGUUAGGGAAACUCUUUAUGAGUGACCUACAUAUCUAACCCCUUUUAAAGAAACUGAGUCCUGGUAAAUUGCCCAGGCUGGUCUUGAAUUCAAGAUCUUCCUGCCUCACUUUUCUGUAUCCAGAACUAUAGGAGUACGAUACCAUUACAAUUACCAUUUUAAAUGUUAUUUAGUCCGGGGCCUCAGUAUUUUUUUUUUUUUCGGGACAGGGUUUCUCUGAUUAGCCCUGAUUGUCCUGGAACUCACUCUGUGGACCAGGCUGGCCUCGAACUCAAAAAUUCGCCUGCCUCUGCCUCCUGAGAGCUGGGACUAAAGGCGUGCGCCACCACGCCCGGCUUGGAGCCUCAGUAUUAACUAAAUACUUGUUAUUAUAGAAGUUGCCUAGCUCAGUGUAAACUAAGGGCUUCCCUAGGACAUUGGACUCCAUUGUCAACACUGGGAUAGGAGAGGGAUGGAUUCCCGAUCCAUGUGUGGUGGAUGUACUUCGGAGUGACUAUGCUACCAACAGGCUAACGUCAAAAUUAAUCUUAAUCCUCCAGUUGAAAAGAAGAGCUUCCUCCUUAACGUCAUCAGACAUUUUAACCUUGACCCAGCAUCUUCACUCCAGCCCUGGCUGACCUGACUAGGCCGCCUUCGAACUUAGAACACUUCUGCCUCGACCUCCUGAUUGCCGCCAUGUCCCGCCCAUGACACUUUGACAAACACACGUAAUUGAACACCUCUUUUUAAAAUUCUCUUGCACUCUACAGCUGGCAUAGCAUCGGCUGGGCCACCAGCGGUAGCCGAGGACAUCGGUCGUCUCAGGUAAUCCUCAGAGAAUCCCGGAAGAGGAGCCGGGUCUCUCCUGUCCCACCCAAUCGAUUCUAAAAAUCCGCACCACCCCUGGGACUGUCAGCAAGGUGACGUUCUCCACGCCGGGUAUUUUCGCAGUGGUGACACAGGCUACUUCCGGCGGGCGGCGGGAGUCCGUGACGUGGCAGGCGAGUCCGUGCACGGUCCUCCGGGCCCGGACACGGGACUGUCAGGUGCCCUCGGGGCAGCUCCCCGGGGACAGAGAGCACGGCCGCAGCCUCCAGCCGGAACCGGAAGUGCCACGUGUCCCCACUGUGCCUGCGCGGCCGGCGGCUCCGCCCAGGGCCUCCCUCCUCUCCGGGUUCGGCUGCUGCCUCCGAGCCCGGCGUUCCCAGCCCAGCCGGCCUGACUCCGGAGCCUCUCCGCGCCCUGGCCAGGUCGUGGCCGCCGGCGGGCAGAAGACACGGACACGCCAUGCCUCUACUUUGACGUGCCACCCCGCGUGUUCCGCUUCUCCGGCCUCCAGGUCCCUGCCCUCGGUUUUCCUGUUGGAGCUCUUAGGCUGGGCGCUGCGGUCGACCCCGACGGCUCCGUCUUACCCUGAGAUCCCCGGGCGCCAUGGCCCAGCCCCGGAUCCCCGCUGCCCGCGGUGCCGCAGCUAGCCUCCAGGCCCAGAACGGAGCCGCCUCAGCCUCGGGGUCUCCCUACACCAACGGUCCUGUCCACAAUACACUGAUGUCUCCACAAGUGUCAUCGAGUCAAGGCUAUGAUUCGCAACCUCCAGGAUCCUACCCUCGUCCAAUGCCAGCAAAGACUUUGAAUCCAUUCUCUGCACAGUCGAACUACGGUGGUUCUCAGGGAUCUGGGCAGACUCUUAAUAGUCCACUUGUGACUUCCGGUCCAGUACUACCUUCACUUCAUAGUGGUCCUGUUCCCCGAAUGCCACUACCUACUUCUCAGAACCCAGCUGCUACACCAAUGCCUUCUGGUAGCUUUCUUCCUGGAGCCAACCCACCCCCACCUUUGAAUUGGCAAUAUAACUAUCCAUCCACAGGACCGCAGACUAACCAUUUUCCUCAUGUAGCUCCACCAACUCUACCUGGGAAUCCAAAUUUAACAGCGGAUCAUCAAUAUGUUUCUUCUGGAGACCCUGCACUUCAAACCAGCUUCAAAAAGCCAGGUUCUGCACUUCCCUUACAGAACCCACCUCUGCCCCCCACUUUUCAGCCAGGAGCUCCUCCUGGGCCCCCUCCAGCUGGAGGCCCACCUCCCAGCCGGGGCCCCGCGCCCCAGAAAACACCUCCUCGGGCUGCACCCCCACCUUCAUUUAACUCAGCUGUCAAUCAGGAAGGUAUUACGUCAAAUGCCAAUAAUGGAUCUACGGCGGCUCAUAAUACUUAUGAUGAGAUUGAAGGAGGUGGCUUCUUGGCAACACCACAGCUUGUUAAUCAGAACCCCAAAACAAGCCGAAGUGUGGGCUCUGCAUACCCCUCCCUGCCACCAGGCUACCAGAACAGCGCACCACCUGUGGCUGGGAUGCCACCACCCUCCCUCAGUUACCCAAGUGGCCCCCAGGCCUUUACUCAGACUCCCUUAGGUGCUAAUCAUUUAACUGCAAGCAUGAGUGGAUUAAGUCUGCAUCCAGAGGGACUAAGAGUUGUCAAUCUUCUUCAAGAAAGGAACAUGCUUCCUUCCACACCACUGCAGCCUCCAGUCCCAAAUCUGCUUGAAGACAUCCAGAAACUCAACUGUAACCCAGAGUUGUUCCGAUGCACGCUGACGAGUGUCCCUCAGACUCAGGCCUUACUGAAUAAAGCCAAGCUUCCUCUGGGGCUGCUGCUCCACCCCUUCAAGGACCUAGUGCAGUUGCCCGUGGUCACCUCCAGCACAAUUGUGAGAUGCCGUUCAUGCAGGACUUACAUUAACCCUUUCGUCAACUUCCUUGAUCAAAGAAGGUGGAAAUGUAACUUAUGUUAUCGAGUCAAUGAUGUUCCUGAAGAAUUCAUGUACAACCCUUUAACCAGAGUUUAUGGAGAACCUCACAAAAGACCUGAAGUCCAGAAUGCUACUAUUGAGUUUAUGGCUCCUUCAGAAUACAUGUUACGACCACCACAACCUCCAGUGUACCUCUUUGUAUUUGAUGUAUCUCACAACGCAAUAGAAACUGGAUACUUGAAUUCAGUUUGCCAGAGUUUGUUAGACAAUCUGGAUCUGCUUCCUGGCAACACUAGGACAAAAAUCGGUUUCAUAACAUUUGAUAGCACUAUCCAUUUCUACAGUCUUCAGGAAGGUCUCUCCCAGCCUCAGAUGCUAAUAGUUUCAGAUAUUGACGAUGUUUUUAUCCCUAUGCCAGAGAACUUACUAGUAAACUUAAAUGAAAGUAAAGAGCUUGUUCAAGAUUUACUGAAAACGCUGCCACAAAUGUUUACGAAGACGCUGGAGACCCAGAGUGCCUUGGGUCCUGCACUUCAGGCUGCAUUCAAGCUGAUAUCACCAACUGGUGGUCGAAUGUCUGUCUUCCAAACACAACUCCCAACGCUUGGUGUAGGAGCUCUGAAACCACGAGAGGAACCCAACCAAAGGUCAUCUGCUAAGGAAAUACAUCUGACACCAUCCACUGACUUCUAUAAGAAAUUAGCCUUGGACUGUUCUGGGCAGCAAGCAGCUGUUGACUUAUUCCUUCUCAGUGGACAGUAUUCUGAUUUGGCUUCCCUAGGCUGCAUCUCUCGGUACUCAGCGGGUAGUGUGUAUUACUAUCCCUCGUACCAUCACCAGCACAACCCAGUGCAAGUACAGAAACUACAGAAGGAACUACACAGGUACCUCACUCGGAAGAUUGGAUUUGAGGCAGUCAUGAGGAUCCGGUGCACCAAAGGUCUUUCCAUUCAUACUUUCCAUGGGAACUUCUUCGUCCGUUCUACAGACUUACUGUCUCUUCCCAAUGUCAACCCAGAUGCUGGGUAUGCGGUCCAGAUGUCAGUAGAAGAGAGUCUCACUGACACUCAGCUGGUUUCCUUCCAGUCAGCACUCUUAUAUACAUCAAGCAAAGGUGAAAGAAGAAUCCGUGUGCAUACUUUGUGUUUGCCGGUAGUUUCUACCCUGAAUGAAGUCUUUCUUGGAGCUGAUGUGCAAGCAAUUUCAGGGUUAUUAGCCAAUAUGGAUGAAUCACCAAGCCUGUAUCCUGUCUCUCUUUUUGUCCUGCCCUCACCUCACUAGCUGUUGACAGGUCGGUGACUGCCAGCCUGAGUGAUGCCCGGGAUGCUCUGGUGAACGCUGUCAUCGACUCUCUCUCAGCUUACCGCUCUUCAGUCCUGAGUGGUCAGCAGCCAGGCCUCAUGGUUCCUUUCUCCUUGAGGCUUUUCCCACUUUUUGUGUUGGCUCUCCUAAAACAGAAAUCUUUCCAGACUGGGACAAGUAUACGUCUAGAUGAACGAAUUUUUGCCAUGUGUCAAGUGAAAAGCCAGCCAUUGGUUCACCUCAUGCUCACAACACAUCCCAGUUUGUACAGAGUUGACAACCUCUCAGAUGAGGGAGCUCUCAACAUCAAUGACAGAACCAUACCUCAGCCCCCCAUUCUUCAGCUCUCGGUGGAGAAGUUGAGCAGAGAUGGAGCGUUCCUCAUGGAUGCAGGCUCAUUACUGAUGCUUUGGGUUGGAAGAAAUUGUUCACAGAAUUUUCUCAGCCAAGUUCUGGGAGUUCAAAACUAUGCAUCAAUUCCACAGACAAUGACAGAUCUUCCAGAACUUGAUACACCAGAAUCUGCCAGAAUAGCAGCGUUCAUCUCAUGGCUCAGAGAACAGAGGCCAUUUUUCCCAGUACUCUAUGUAAUCAGGGAGGAGAGUCUUAUGAAAGCAGCCUUCCUUCAGAGCUUGGUAGAAGACAGAACAGAGUCUGCACUGUCAUAUUAUGAAUUCCUCCUGCACAUACAGCAGCAAGUGAACAAGUGAGGAGUCGCUGGCGGAGUUCCUGAGGAUGCAGUACCUUUCUUUCCUCCUUAAGAUUGUGAACAAAUGUGAUGAUGAUUAAGAUGUUUCACUGUGAUUUCAACUAACUAUAGCAAAGAAAGGACCACAGCCGAGAGUCAGAUGUGCAACUCCAAAAUACUGUAUUUUUCAAAUCAAAUAGAUGUCUACACAAUUGGAAACCUUUUUUUUUCCCUUUGCUGCCAACUAUGUUUGAGUUGUUAUGGAUUGAGAUGAGACAAUAUUGCAGAGGCAAAGAACAUUUUAUAAAAUAAAGACUUCUGUGUUCUGCAUUUCUAUUUCUCAUUUUUUUAUUUUUAUGAGUUUUUGGCUGCUACAUUUAAAAACGUCACAAGACUAAGUGUUUUAGGGACGUUUCAAGUCUAUCAAUAAUGAUCUUUUUUAAAUUGGAAAAUCCAAAAGUCAGUAGACUGUAGAAAAGCUGGAAUCCAUCCCUUUACAUAUCUGUUUUUGCCCCGCCCGCCCCCCCCCCCACUUCAUUUUGUAGGGAAGGAAAAGGAUCAUGUUAACUGAAAUUGGAGUACACUAGCUCUGGUCCUGCUUGGGAAGAAUAUAAAGUAAAUUGUCAAGCUUUAACAUCUGUCAGUAUUUUCUCUACUUGAACAAAGUCACUUUAAUUUGAGGUGAAAACUAAUUAGGUGGUUUUCUGCUGUUUUAUUCUGCCGUGAAUAAAAUUUGAGCUGUCUUCAUAAAUAUAUCAGGACUGGCAAUGAUAAUAGGAGCUGGUUCUGUUGGUUCGCUGAGUGGGUUUUUGUUUGGUCCAUUUCUGCUGUGGUUGAUAGAGUUAAAGUAUUACAAGCAGUUAAAGGUUCCCUAGAUGCAAUCUUAGAAUGCAUCAGCGUAUCUCUAGGAAGUUUAAGGAUUAAAUUGGAAGCCGUUCAUGUAUUCUGGGAUAUUAAAACCUUUUAAGGUAUGAAUGCUGCUGUUUGAGUUGGUGGAUACUAAGAUUGUACAAAUCCAUCAUUUUAAAAUUAUAAAAGAAACUUGAUUUGUUAUCAUGCUCUAAAGACUGCUUGUUUUGAUUCAGUUAGAGAACUAUUACAGUCAAACUAUCAGAUGGCUUUUGUUUACAAAUAGGUAAAUUAUCCAUGUGUAUUUAAAGUGCUAUGAUGUGUCUUUAAGAGUUUGCCUCAGUUUUCACAGGUUCAUCAUCUUGUAUGAACUUCUUUAGUAAUAUUUGUGUGUAAUACUCAGAGAUUUUUUUUUUUUUUUGGUUUUUGUUUUCAUAGAUUAGAAAUGUGUUUACAAUCUCCGUCUCAUGUGAUCACCAAUAUAAUAGUAACUUCCAGGUUUACACCCACACGGGCUGACUGUAACUCCUGGGAAGGGAAGCAGCAGGCCCCUGGAGUGUACAGACAGCUAUGCUUGCCAGCUGCUUCCGGACAACUGUGCUUUGUGAGAGUAACAGUGUUAGAGUUCCUUUUCUUUUUUAAUUCCAAGCCACACAUGAUGGUGGCACAGGAUCCUAACCCCAGUGCUUGGAAGGCUACGGCUACAGCAGGUCGAUUGCUAGCCUGGGCUACAUAGCAAGUGCCAGACCAGCUAGACUUUGUCUCAAAAAGACAAUUGAAAAUUUUUGUUUCAGUGUACAUAUAGUACAUUCAAUUGAGGUUUUUUUUUUUUUUAAACUGCUUCAUUUAUUGAGAAGCAGUUUUCAAACUAUAACCAAUUAAGUGUAUAUUAUUUCCCCUCUUUUUAAGAAACAGCCAUUAUAUACAAUGUUCCUUUAAAUGAACUAAAGUUUUCUUUUUAAUGGGAUUUUAAAUGUUAGUAUUUUUAGGUUCUUUCUUCAUAGUAAGGAAUCUUCCAGAGGGAAAUGUACUCCUAGGGAAACCUUCCUCGUGCCUUCCCUGAGUGAGUCUGACCCUUAUUAGCACCUGCUUGGUUAGUAUAUUUUACAAAUUUACUUUUAAAUUUUAUUUUAGAUAUUAUAUUAUGUGCAAUCCAGAGUAAUUUUAUAACAGUUAUAAAAACAUAACUAUUAGGGUUCACAACUUUGUUCUCCAGACAAGAGAAUGAACCGUUGUGGAAUAUUGAUAUGAUUAUUUUUUUGCUAUAUUGAAUGUUUUUCAGUUUUGACUUUUUUUUUUUUUGCAGUAAGACACUACCCGUCCUACCAUCCUGUAUUACUUUCUGAUGUAAAGCAACUAAUAUUUACACUAUGCCAUAUUUUUUUUAUUGUAGUUGUAAAUUAUGAAAGAUCCUUGAAUUUUCUACAGAUCUACAACUACUAAAGUAACAGACAAGGGCAAUCUUGAUAUAUAAAUCUGAGCAUGCAGUUCUACCAUAAAAAGUACUCUAUUUUUCUAAUUUCUAGAAUUUUUAAAAUAAUGUUCCUGUAAGUCUGACAUACUAAUAUUCACUUACGCAGUAACACUUAUUUUAGCUUGCAUAUAUUUUAAUUUAAUGUAAUAUACUGAGUCUAAUAGACUGUUUUGCAAUAAUUAGAAUAAAAGAUUUACUUCUUCUAAUCAGAGAUGCAUAACAGCUAUUAUCUAGGGGACCACCAAAUGUGAUUUCACAGUUUUAACUAUUAUAAACACAAUUGUUACAUAGAAAUUUUAAUUUUGUAAAGUAGUGUAUAUGAUAUUGUAACAUUAAGUCCUUGUUCUCAAAUCAAAAGUAUAUGUUGACCUCCAGUGUAUUGUGCUCAGUCUUGCUCCCCUGAAAUGUUGAGACAAGAUUGGUCUUCCUUUUUACAGAUUGUAAUUUUCACUGUUUUAUUCCUGUUUUUUUAAAAAAAAGUCAUUUGUAACCCAUGCAAACAAUGUUUGAUCUGUGCUAACUUAUAAAUUUGGCUAUUCAAUAAAGUUAAUCAAAAGAGCUUA